GUAGACGUUAGCUCAGUGGUUAGAGCACAGGGCUCUGGCUCUCGGGUCCGCGAGUUCGAGUCCCGUCAUCUACU
rfam:Trichomalopsis sarcophagae strain Alberta scaffold20159, whole genome shotgun sequence.